UGUCAUAUGCUUGUCUCAAAGAUUAAGCCAUGCAUGUCUAAGUAUAAGCUUUUAUACGGUGAAACUGCGGAUGGCUCAUUAUAUCAGUUAUAGUUUAUUUGAUAGUGCCUUUACUUGGNNANCUGUNGGAAUCCGAGAGCUAAUACAUGCAAAUGGCUCCGACUCGGUGCAAGCCUGGAAGGAGUGUAUUUAUUAGAUGUGAAACCAAUGCGGGGUAUUCCAAACUGUGCGUCUGCGGGGCAACUCGUGGGCGUACGGGCUCCGGUUUUAUGGUGAAUCAUGAUAACUCUGCGAAUCGCAUGGCCUUGCGCCGGCGAUGAUUCAUUCAAAUUUCUGCCCUAUCAACUUGACGAUAGUAUAGAGGACUAUCGUGGUUUUAACGGGUGACGGAGCAUUAGGGUGCGAUGCCGGAGAGGGAGCCUGAGAAACGGCUACCACGUCUACGGGCGGCAGCAGGCGCGUAAAUUACCCAAUCCUGACACAGGGAGGUAGUGACAAUAAAUAACAAUGCUCGCCCCGACAAGGGGUGAGCAAUUGGAAUGAGUACGACUCAAAACCGCUAACGAGUAGCAAUUA
rnacentral:rRNA from 1 species